GGGCCCGCGAGGAGCCGGGCUAAGGGGGGCGGCGGGAGCCUCGGGACAGGAGAGCCCAGCCCCGGAGAGGCAGGGACUUGAAAAAUCCGCACUGGAUUCCUCCUGGACAGAAAGGCGCUGGCAGGGAACUCGGGCAGCACCGCAGGAGGCGCGGUGGAGCCCCCAGGUUCCCGGGGUCACUACCAGAGGAGAUAUAAUGAGGUAUCCACGGAGACUGCAGGAGGAAUAGCUGAAUGCAUAAGCAACGCCAUAAGAAGUCUGAUGGGAGGCACAGCCUGCAGUAAAUGAAGUGAAGCAAUAUCCUUACCACACAGCAGAUGAGAAGAGUGAUGACCAGAGAUUUCACCAAUAUGACAGAAGUGUCACACAACUGAUGUGCAGAGUAGCUAAGAGCUGAGGUGACAAGCUGAUGGUAUCUGUGGCCUUUGGAAAAAGCACAUAUCAUAGCUGCUGCCCUACUUGAUGAGCCCUAUUCCACCCUCCCACACCCGAUCCUCAUUCUGGCAUGACAUCAGCUCUGCUUCCAGCCCCAAGUAUCAUCUUCUGCCCACCUGUUCCUGCAGCUCUAUGUGAACUUUGGUUUCAAGUUAGCAUCUCAACAUCCAUUUGGCAAAGACUUUUGGAAGGGGCUGUUAUGUACCACCCUGGAUCUAGCAUCAGGGAUCAAAUGGUGAGUAAGCAGAGACACUGACCUGGCAACCACCACCUAUUUUGUACUUUGAAGAAGUUUUAAAUGUUGUUUUGGACUCUGAUGUGAUCUCAGUUUCAUGUCACAUUUUAAUUCCACAGUGAUUGUGUUCACUUGACCGUUUGCUGGAUGCAGAGACGAGAGUUAUGAAUACUGACUCUUGUUGGCCUCUAAAGGGCCCUGGAAUGCUAUGAUGCUGCUUUCAGAAUUUGAUAUUACACACAUAACCAAAGUUCGAUAACCACAUCUUCUUCUUCUUCUUCUUCUUUUUUUUUUUUUUUUGGCUAGUUUUACUAUUUUUGUUUUGCUGCCAUCCAUGGACUAUCUUGUCCUAAAGCAGAAGGACGGCACAUUAGGAUGAGAGAUGUUUCCUCUAAAUAUGGAAUAGUUGCAAAGCAAUCAUAAUAAUGAAAUGGAUUGUGGGCGUAAUGUGCCUGUGUUUUCUCAUUAUGGCAUAUUUUGCUGUGAUGUUCCUGUAAUGAAUGUACCACUUGUAUGUAUUAAAAAUGA